rnacentral:tRNA from 1 species
GGGGACGUGGCGGAAUCGGUAUACGCGCUUGACUCAAAAUCAAGUGGCCUCAGGCCUUGUGGGUUCGAGUCCCACCGUCCCUA